rnacentral:rRNA from 1 species
GACGAACGCUGGCGGCGUGCUUAACACAUGCAAGUCGAACGGAAAGGCCCUGCUUUUGUGGGGUGCUCGAGUGGCGAACGGGUGAGUAACACGUGAGUAACCUGCCCUUGACUUUGGGAUAACUUCAGGAAACUGGGGCUAAUACCGGAUAGGAGCUCCUGCUGCAUGGUGGGGGUUGGAAAGUUUCGGCGGUUGGGGAUGGACUCGCGGCUUAUCAGCUUGUUGGUGGGGUAGUGGCUUACCAAGGGUUUGACGGGUAGCCGGCCUGAGAGGGUGACCGGCCACAUUGGGACUGAGAUACGGACCAGACUCCUACGGGAGGCAGCAGUGGGGAAUAUUGCACAAUGGGAGGAAGCCUGAUGCAGCAACGCCGCGUGCGGGAUGACGGCCUUCGGGUUGUAAACCGCUUUCGCCUGUGACGAAGCGUGAGUGACGGUAAUGGGUAAAGAAGCACCGGCUAACUACGUG